rnacentral:rRNA from 1 species
UACGUAGGGUCCGAGCGUGGUCCGGAAUUAUUGGGCGUAAAGGGCUCGUAGGCGGUUUGUCGCGUCGGGAGGGAAAACCUACAGCUUAACUGUGGGCUUGCUUUCGAUACGGGCAGACUUGAGGCAUGCAGGGGAGAACGGAAUUCCCGGUGUAGCGGUGAAAUGCGCAGAUAUCAGGAGGAACACCGGUGGCGAAGGCGGUUCUCUGGGCAUGUUCUGACGCUGAGGAGCGAAAGUGUGGGGAGCGAACAGG